CCUACGGGCGGCUGCAGUGGGGAAUAUUGGACAAUGGGCGAAAGCCUGAUCCAGCCAUGCCGCGUGUGUGAAGAAGGCCUUCGGGUUGUAAAGCACUUUCAGUGGGGAAGAAAGCCUUGGGGCUAAUACCCUCGAGGAAGGACAUCACCCACAGAAGAAGCACCGGCUAACUCCGUGCCAGCAGCCGCGGUAAUACGGAGGGUGCGAGCGUUAAUCGGAAUUACUGGGCGUAAAGCGCGCGUAGGCGGUCUGAUAAGCCGGUUGUGAAAGCCCCGGGCUCAACCUGGGAACGGCAUCCGGAACUGGCAGGCUAGAGGGCAGGAGAGGAAGGUAGAAUUCCCGGUGUAGCGGUGAAAUGCGUAGAGAGCGGGAGGAAUACCAGUGGCGAAGGCGGCCUUCUGGACUGACACUGACGCUGAGGUGCGAAAGCGUGGGUAGCAAACAGGAUUAGAUACCGGGGUAGUC
rnacentral:rRNA from 1 species